rnacentral:rRNA from 1 species
GUCGAGCGGUAGCACAGGAGAGCUUGCUCUCUGGGUGACGAGCGGCGGACGGGUGAGUAAUGUCUGGGAAACUGCCUGAUGGAGGGGGAUAACUACUGGAAACGGUAGCUAAUACCGCAUAACGUCUACGGACCAAAGUGGGGGACCUUCGGGCCUCACGCCAUCAGAUGUGCCCAGAUGGGAUUAGCUAGUAGGUGGGGUAAUGGCUCACCUAGGCGACGAUCCCUAGCUGGUCUGAGAGGAUGACCAGCCACACUGGAACUGAGACACGGUCCAGACUCCUACGGGAGGCAGCAGUGGGGAAUAUUGCACAAUGGGCGCAAGCCUGAUGCAGCCAUGCCGCGUGUGUGAAGAAGGCCUUAGGGUUGUAAAGCACUUUCAGCGAGGAGGAAGGGUUCAGUGUUAAUAGCACUGUGCAUUGACGUUACUCGCAGAAGAAGCACCGGCUAACUCCGUGCCAGCAGCCGCGGUAAUACGGAGGGUGCAAGCGUUAAUCGGAAUUACUGGGCGUAAAGCGCACGCAGGCGGUUUGUUAAGUCAGAUGUGAAAUCCCCGCGCUUAACGUGGGAACUGCAUUUGAAACUGGCAAGCUAGAGUCUUGUAGAGGGGGGUA